AUGCUAGUACGGCGAGUGAGCGGCAACAGCUCAAAUUUGAAAGCUGGCUCCGGCCCGCAUUGUAAUUUGCAGAGGAUGCUUUUGGCGAGGUGCCUUCCGAGUUCCCUGGAACGGGACGCCAUAGAGGGUGAGAGCCCCGUAUGGAUGGACACCAAACCUGUGUAAAGCUCCUUCAACGAGUCGAGUAGUUUGGGAAUGCUGCUCUAAAUGGGAGGUAAAUCUCUUCUAAAGCUAAAUACCGGCCAGAGACCGAUAGCGCACAAGUAGAGUGAUCGAAAGAUGAAAAGCACCUUGAAAAGGGGGUUAAACAGUACGUGAAAUUGUUGAAAGGGAAGCGCUUGUGACCAGACUUGCGCCGGGCAGCUCAUCAGGGGUUCUCCCCUGUGCACUCUGCCCGGCUCAGGCCAGCAUCGGUUCUCGUGGGAGGAUAAGAACAGUGGGAACGUGGCCCCCUCUCGGGGGGGUGUUAUAGCCCAUUGUACGAUACUCUCGUGGGGACCGAGGUUCGCGCUCCGCAAGGAUGCUGGCGUAAUGGUCAUCAGCGACCCGUCUUACA
rnacentral:rRNA from 1 species